UUCGUCCAACCUUUUGGCUGGAGGAGGUGGAGAUGAGGGAGACGAUGAGUAGAUUCAGCCGACCAAACCGGUGAUGAAUCCAGCCCCACCAGCUGGACAGACCUUCUGGUUCGAUAUCCCUUCUGCCAAGUCCAAGCAGGCUGCUUGGGGUAGCUUUUUUAAUUAGAUCUACGCCUUCAGUGCCGUGGAAGACUUCUGGAGGAGGACUAACACAUUGUUGUAGAUGACAAAUUCCAGAGGAUGCUAGAAGCAAUGCAUGGGCUUUCUUUCGACCCGAAGAUCAGGUAGCAACUCUCAAGAGGAUAUUUUGUGCUAAUAUAUAUGAGCCAGCACCCACUUCCAACAGUCAACGAGUAUGGCCAGACAGG